UUUAUGGUGAACUUUAUAAAAGCAUAAUACUAUACUCAAAUAUAUUCAUACGUCAGCACAGACAAGAACAGAACAAUCAAACUCUUAAUUAAUCAUGGCCACUAGAACUAUGUAGAAAACAAGGAACGGUCUCUUCCAAAAGUGACGGAUCCGACGGCAGACAAUUAAUGUUUCAAAUCGACGGUCGAAUGGUUCAUGCCUCUAUCUGGUUUAGUGUGAAACCACGUCAGUCUAAAAUGAAACCUCCAAUAAAAAGCCAACAAAGUUCUCUUAUUUUUUCUCUUUCGAUAAAGCUUCUCUACUUUAAUCUUUGUUUUUAUUAUUUCUUUGGGUGUAUUCGAGACAAAUUCCAGUGAAUAUAUUCUUUACCCAUCCCUUUAUCUAGAUAACUUAUUUUAUAUUCCAAAUCAUUUUGAUUUAGACUGAGCCGACCGAAUACUUUAAUAUGCGAUCACGAAUUUUUUAAAUGUGACUGAAUGUUGAUGUAUAGAGGUAAGAUUCGAUGUUCAGUAUCUUUAGACAUUCUAGAGAAGGGACACAAAUUUAAACAUUAUAGUUUGGUACUAAAAGAGAUUUAUUAUAUCAAAGAUUUUAACCAUGGUUGGGUGGUACGUAGUGGCGGAGCUAGGAAUUAUUCUAACCGAAAUCAAUAUUAUUAUACCUAUCUAAUAAUGUUAAGAGAUGUGCAAGAAUUAGAUUUCAUCUUUAAACAAGAGGGGUAAAUUCUAUAUGAAUCAACCAUUUUUUUCAUUUUACACUAACAAAUUCACCUAUAAACAAAAAAAUAAAAAUCAUGGGGGUCAGCUGACCCCUCUCCUUCAAGUGGGAACGAAUCUAGGUUUGAUCUGAAGUUAACGACAAUUUCAACUGGUUACGAAUACUUGCUUAUCUAGAUUCGUUCAUGAAUUUAAAUACUCAUUUUAGAUGCAUUGUAUGCAUUUUCUCCAAUAGUUUUGCAAUUUGUUUAGGGUUUGUUGGUGUUGGUAUUCCGCCAACAAAGGAAAGUGACGAAACCAACUAAUAAUAAUCAUUUUAAAGGCGUUGGUAAAUUAAAUGUAAAUUAACAAUAACUACCUUCUUGAUAACAAAAAUGUUACAAUAAACAUAGUAUUAAUUUGUUUGCAAAAGUGAAAAAAAAUGUUUAAAAGAAGGAAAAGAAGGCACACUUGUUCACGAUCUUUAUAUAUACUCCCUCUCAAAGUUCUAUAUCUUUGGAGUCUUGUGGGUUACCAUUUUACCUCAUAAGAUGAAACUCUAUAAAUUAAAAUGUUCUGUUCAAUUCAAUGCCUCGCCAGACAUCUGUUCCCUUUGCAUGUAAGAGAGAUAAAGAAAGCGACAAAAGCCAUAAAGAAAGAUAAGACUCUUUGAAUGAUAGAGAGAUAAGGCUCCUCUUAUCUUCUCAACAGAUCUUUGUUUCUUUCUUCUUUUCUUUUCGUUUUUUCCUUUUUUGGUUAUGUUUGUUCUCGAUUUAGACAAAAAAACCCUAGACUUGAUCUUCCAAAGGGUGUCUGAAUUUCUUCCCUUUGUACAGAUUUGUAUUCUUUCUCUUUGUGGUUCUUUGCCUUCUUUAGUUAAAACUUAGAUCUAACCAUUAAUCUCUUAUCUUUUCACUGACCCAAUGACUCUUAUUCUUCGUUUUAUCUUGUAGAUCUCUAGAGUUGGAUGAAUUGUGAGUGAAUGAGCUGGGGCAAAAGAAACACACAGAAACUGACAGAAGAGAGUGAGCACACAAAAGUAAUUUGCAUAUGUUGUAUUUGCGAUCUCUUGCGUGCUCACUGCUCUUUCUGUCAGAUUCCGGUGCUGAUCUCUUUGGCCUGUCCUUGUUCUCUUUGUCUCAGUCUCUCUCUCUCACAUACACAAGCUCUUUCUCUCUCUCUCUCUCUCUCUUGAUUAUCUCCAAACUAAGAUAUGGAAGUACGGAGAGUACGUGAUUGAUCCUAGAUUGCAGCCUAGGAUUGUACGACAUAUGACGAUGCUCAUGGUGUGCUGAUUAUUUAGGGGCAGCCGGAUAUGUCUGGACCAUCGUCAAUUUAUUAUUUGUGGCUAUGAUCUGUUUGGGUGCCUUGAAAGAAAAGAUUUCGAGGUGGAAGUGAUAGAAGUAAAAUAUCUGCAAAUAGUAUACAUGAGUAUGUAUUAGUAUCAAACAAUAUGUUGAUGAUGUUUUGUGUGAUGAAUAUUGGGUUUGCGGACAACUGAAGAUGCGGUAUUGGAAACCCAACUAACUAAGAAAAUUAGUUGCUCACAAUCUACUUGUUUUGCAUGUAACCAAUAGGUGUCCAUUCAGAUUGGAGGAUCUUAGGUUAAACUGAUGCAUGUAUAGUUGUGCCUUUUUGCAACUGCAAGUAGAUGUUUAGUAUAUAUAGAAAUAUUUUGAGCGCUGAGUUCCCAUCUAGACCUAUAUAUAUCUUUCGAAUACAUGUAAAACUUAAUAAUAUAUGAAUAAAUUGAGUUUAUGAAAUUUUUGGGU